rnacentral:rRNA from 1 species
UGGGGAAUUUUGGACAAUGGGGGAAACCCUGAUCCAGCCAUCCCGCGUGUGCGAUGAAGGCCUUCGGGUUGUAAAGCACUUUUGGCAGGAAAGAAACGUCAUGGGUUAAUACCCCGUGAAACUGACGGUACCUGCAGAAUAAGCACCGGCUAACUACGUGCCAGCAGCCGCGGUAAUACGUAGGGUGCAAGCGUUAAUCGGAAUUACUGGGCGUAAAGCGUGCGCAGGCGGUUCGGAAAGAAAGAUGUGAAAUCCCAGAGCUCUACUUUGGAACUGCAUUUUUAACUACCGGGCUAGAGUGUGUCAGAGGGAGGUGGAAUUCCGCGUGUAGCAGUGAAAUGCGUAGAUAUGCGGAGGAACACCGAUGGCGAAGGCAGCCUCCUGGGAUAACACUGACGCUCAUGCACGAAAGCGUGGGGAGCAAACAGG